rnacentral:rRNA from 1 species
UACGUAGGGGGCUAGCGUUGUCCGGAAUCAUUGGGCGUAAAGCGCGUGUAGGCGGUCCGGUAAGUCCGCUGUGAAAGUCGGGGGCUCAACCCUCGGAUGCCGGUGGAUACUGUCGGGCUUGAGUACGGAAGAGGCGAGUGGAAUUCCUGGUGUAGCGGUGAAAUGCGCAGAUAUCAGGAGGAACACCAAUUGCGGAGGCAGCUCGCUGGGACGUCACUGACGCUGAGACGCGAAAGCGUGGGGAGCAAACAGG